CCUACGGGUGGCAGCAGUGGGGAAUAUUGGACAAUGGGGGAAACCCUGAUCCAGCGACGCCGCGUGAGUGAAGAAGUAUUUCGGUACGUAAAGCUCUAUCAGCAGGAAAGAAAAUGACGGUACCUGACUAAGAAGCCCCGGCUAACUACGUGCCAGCAGCCGCGGUAAUACGGAGGAUUCAAGCGUUAUCCGGAUUUAUUGGGUUUAAAGGGUGCGUAGGCGGUCGGAUAAGUUAGAGGUGAAAUCCCGAGGCUCAACUUCGGAAUUGCAGUUGAAACUGGAGGCCUUGAGUGCACACAGGGAUGCCGGAAUUCAUGGUGUAGCGGUGAAAUGCUUAGAUAUCAUGAAGAACUCCGAUCGCGAAGGCAAGUGUCCGGGGUGCAACUGACGCUGAGGCUCGAAAGUGCGGGUAUCAAACAGGAUUAGAUACCCUAGUAGUC
rnacentral:rRNA from 1 species